UACAGAGGUCUCAAGCGUUGUUCGGAUUCAUUGGGCGUAAAGGGUGCGUAGGCGGCGCGGUAAGUCGGGUGUGAAAUCUCGGAGCUUAACUCCGAAACUGCAUUCGAUACUGCCGUGCUUGAGGACUGGAGAGGAGACUGGAAUUUACGGUGUAGCGGUGAAAUGCGCAGAUAUCGGGAAGAACACCCGUGGCGAAGGCGGCUCUCUGGGACGGUACUGGACGCUGAGA
rnacentral:rRNA from 1 species